CCCGCGCGCCCCUUCCCGGACAGUUCCUCCCGGCGCCCCCGAGUCCUCCCCGCGCGCCGCUUCCCGGGUGGGCCCUUCCACCAGACCCCCCUGGUAGAUCCUCCCCUAGUGCCCUGGGGGUAGAGGGGGGAUCCUCCACAAGGGUCCUUUCCCUGGUGAUUCUUCCUGUGCUCCACAGGCAGCGUGUGUCCUUGGCCUUCGCCGCCCAGCCCGCAUGGCAUCUCUGGACCGGUGACCGUGCGCGCCUUGGUGUGGGCAGGCUCCGUAGCCGGCAAAGCCUCCCUGAACUGUGACCUGGUGAGAAGGCCACAGAGGAGGUGCCUGUGCCCAAAGGCCACCUCCGAAGACCCCACCUGAGGCUGGAACCCCGCGCCUGCUGACCUCCCCAGCCCUAACGGGGCUGGAGUCCGGGAGCGGCCGUGCUCUUUCCACAGUGAGGCAGCUGCCCUCCCUCCCCACCACCUGUCAGGAUGCCUUCCUGUGUGUGUGUGUGCACAGGUCUAAGGAGAGGAGAGUCCAGUGACCCAGACGCCCCAGCCAGGAAGAGCAUGAGGUGGGAAGGGGGCUUCCCAGAUGGAGAAAAACAGAUGGUCCCACAGUGGCUUGGAGACAGGUGCAACAUCAGUGUUGGGGGAGGUGAGGAAAAGGAGCUGUCUUGGGGCUCCAGGCUGCUGGUUUGAGCAGCACCAUGGGUCUCGGCCCUGCCUGCUCAGAUGCUGGAGGUCAGUGACUGGAGGGAGCUGACAUCUACCUGGGACAUCCCUCCCUGUAGGACAUGCAGCGGAGUGUUCAGGGCUAUCAGGAGGGAGCCCUGUGCCCACGGUUCAAGAUCUAGGCAGGUGGGACAGAUGUGGUCAGGGUGCUGGGGACAGAGCAUAGGGAAUCCAGCACACAGGACACCAGCCAGGUGGGCAGAAAACAGCAUGUGCUGGGAGGAAAGCCAGGUGGGGGUCCCAAGGAGAGCAGUGGCCACAAUGUCUUGGCUGCAGAGCAGACCAGAAAGGAAAACCCUGCCAGGGUUAGCACAGGGCCAGGAACCGAAGCUGCAAGGCAGUGCUGUCUCUGGGGAGAGAGGGCUGUGGGUCCCAGGACACAUCCUACAGGCUGCAGGGAACAGGAGCUGGCUUGCUGGUGAUUGGGUGGGAAGAGCAGACAGCCAGGGGCCAGGUGCAGGAGAGGGGCAAUGACAGGCAGUGUCUCCCCAGAAAGAAGGUGGGGCUGCUGCCUCCCCUGUCCUACAGCCCCGGCCUACCUCUGUCUCCUCAGCGGGAAAGCAACGCUGCGGCCUGAGAUCUCCUUCCACCAACUCCUGGCAUGGUCAGAAAGUUAGCCAGAAACAACAGAAAGUGCCAGGCAGCUAGGAGGCAUGGGGAGAGUCCCCGAAGCUGUGUGUGUAGUGCCUGCUUCCGCUGCCAUCCCAGAAACGGAGGCGCUUCACCCUGAGAACCCGGCCACGCCACCAGGACACAUCCUGACAGUGACAUGCACACUCUCCCCUGGCCUUGGCCUGGAGGGGAGCCUCCUGCAGACACCAGCCUUUGCUCCUUCUCCCGGUGGGGGUGGAGAGAACUGACUGCUGGAGCGGAGACAGUCAAAGCUGUCCUUCGGAGGGAGUACGGCGCAGGGUCUGGUGUCCCAGGGAGACAAUCUGAACUUCAAGCCAGGACACUGCAGCAGAGAGGACACACCCCUUACCAUGCAGAGUGACAUUUAGUAAACUCUCAAAAGACAGCACAGAGCCCCGUUCCUCCAGCCGACCCCUACUCUGCCUCCCCACUCCAGACCAGUGAAAAAGGUGGAUUGCCCUUAAGCCAGCUCAGAGGCAAAGUCCAAAGACCUCAGGAAUAGGUCUGAGACUCACGCUCACGGCUGCAUGCAACAGGCAUCCACACAACCACAGCCCCAAAUCCGAGCCGUUCUGUGAUCACUUUCAUGAUGCUUUGAGAUCAUUUCUUCAGAACUGAGGUGAGUGUGUGCCGGGGGCAAAUUCUCUCUUUUAUCAUUUAAAAACUUUAUUUAUUUAGCCUUUUUCGUAUAAACCAUUUUUUGCUAGGCCUAAUAUUCAAGGCUGAGCAUGGCUUCCCCUGAGAAUAGGCACACUACUGCUCUACCGUGACGAGCUCCCGUGACUCCUUUGAAGGUUCUGUCUUCCCGCUCGAAUUGCUUCUGAGGUUUUUGUCUCUGGCAUUCUGCAAUUUCACUAUUAUGCUUCUCAGCACAUAAUCUUUUAAAGCCUGUAGACUAAAUGACUGCCUGUGAGAGCUGUCCUCCAAGAUGGCAUCCAAUGAUUCUCACCUCCUGGUAUUCAUGCCCUUGUGUCAUCCCUUCUCACAUUAAAUAGGAUCACCAGUGUAUCCAAAAAGGAUACUGUAGAAAUAGGGAAGUGUGACUUCCUAGGUUAAGUUAUGGAAGUCAUUGCGGCUUCCAGCUCACUCUCUCUCCAAGUGCUCUCUCUCUCUCCAAGCACUCACUCUGGGGGAAGCCAGCCACUGUACUGAGGAUACUGAAGCUGUCCUAUGGGGAGAUGCACGUGGUGAGGAGCUGAGCCUCCUGCCAGCCCCUAUCAUGGACUCGCCAGUCACGUGAGUGAGCUGCCGUGGAAGCAGUCUCCAGCCUUCCUCAAACUUUGAGAUGACUGAAGUGUUGGCUGCUAUCUCAACUAUAAGCUCCCAAGAGAUCUCAAACCAAAGCAACAGCUAAGCAGCUCCCAAAUUUCUAACCUACAGAAACUAAGAUAAAAAUAGUUACUGUUUUAAGUUGCUAAGCUCUGGGGAAAUUUGUCAUGCAGCAAUGGAUAACUAAUACAUGGCCAAAGGCUGGCUAUGGUGGCUCAUGCCUGCGAUCCCAGCUCUUUGGAAGGCCAGGAGUUAGAGACCAGCCGAGGUAACAUAGUGAGACCCUGUCUCUAAUCUUUUUUAAAAAGUAAACUAGUAAUACAUUUCCAGAAUCACCAUAUACAUUUAAAAUGAAAUUUUCAAGAUUCAUGAAGUCUGUUUUUUUAAAAAACACUGAAUUGUUUUUCAGAAGCCUGACACGUUUAAAAUGUUAAAUCUUGCUGGGCGCAAAGGCUCAUGCCUGUAAUCUUAACACUUUGGAACACAUGGAAGAU